rnacentral:rRNA from 1 species
CACGUAGGGGGCAAGCGUUGUCCGGAUUUAUUGGGCGUAAAGAGCUCGUAGGUGGCUGAGUAAGUCGGGUGUUAAAUCCCCAGGCUCAACCUGGGACACCACCCGAUACUGCUCUAGCUAGAGUCCGGUAGGGGAGCAUGGAAUUCCUGGUGUAGCGGUGAAAUGCGCAGAUAUCAGGAGGAACACCAGCGGCGAAGGCGGUGCUCUGGGCCGGAACUGACACUGAGGAGCGAAAGCGUGGGUAGCAAACAGG